rnacentral:misc_RNA from 1 species
AAGGAGCACCACGAGAAACACUCCAAUUGGUGGGGUGUGAGCCGUGAGGGGUUCUCGUCUGUAGUGGACGAGGGCCGGGUGCACAACAACAGGCAAUCGCCAGACACACUAUUGGGCCCUGAGACAACACUCGGCCGACUUCGGUUGAAGUGGUGUCCCUCCAUCUUGGUGGUGGGGUGUGGUGUUUGAGUAUUGGAUAGUGGUUGCGAGCAUC